AUUGAACGCUGGCGGCAGGCCUAACACAUGCAAGUCGAACGGUAACAGGAAACAGCUUGCUGUUUCGCUGACGGGUGGCGGACGGGUGAGUAAUGUCUGGGACACUGCCUGAUGGAGGGGGAUAACUACUGGAAACGGUAGCUACUACCGCAUAACGUCGCAAGACCAAAGAGGGGGACCUUCGGGCCUCUUGCCAGCGGAUGUUCCCAGAUGGGAUUAGCUAGGAGGUGGGGGAACGGCUCACCUAGGGGACGAUCCCUUGCUGGUCUGAGAGGAUGACCAGCCACACUGGAACUGAGACACGGUCCAGACUCCUACGGGAGGCAGCAGUGGGGAAUAUUGCACAAUGGGCGCAAGCCUGAUGCAGCCAUGUCGCGUGUAUGAAGAAGGCCUUCGGGUUGUAAAGUACUUUCAGCGGGGAGGAAGGGAGUAAAGUUAAUACCUUUGCUCAUUGACGUUACCCGCAGAAGAAGCACCGGCUAACUCCGUGCCAGCCGCCGCCGUAA
rnacentral:rRNA from 1 species